CUGAAGGGAGGGAGGGAAGGAACAGGAGCCCAAGAGCUCAGGACAUUCUACCCUCCCCAGGCAGGGAGCCGAAGCCAGGAGGAGGAAUUGGAACCGGCUGAACUGUUCAACCAUCAUCCAGCCCCCGGGACUGCCAGCCCUAGAUCUUCCUGCUGCUGCUGCUUCCACUGCUAGAGAAAUCGGAAUUUGCUGGGAAAAAAAACCGAACCAAAGCAAACCGAACCAAGAGCUUUUCAUCGCCCGGCCGAGGAAGGAAGGCAUGCUUCGCUGUUUCUGCUCCUCCUGUUUUCAUCCCCGUUAAAAGAUGCACUUUCUGUUGGAUGCUGUCACCGCGCUGAAU
rnacentral:lncRNA from 1 species